UCUGUUGGUUAGUAGUUGUUCUAAUGAUUACAACACUCAAUUAUUACAGAUGGUGGAGGACUAAUGUCAUGCACAUGCCAUCGUUCCUGUCAUGGUGGGCGUCGCUGGUCUGCUGUUUCAUCCUGGUCAUCGCCCGUCAGCCUGAAGAGGGUUCUGCAGUGUCCUCGCGAGUUUGGACAAUUUCUGCUGAUUGGCUUCAAGUUCCCUGGCCUCUUAUCUGCUGUCUCCAGCUGCUAUUAAAAGCAUCUAGUGAAUUGUUUAAUCCAAAUAUUUUACUUUUAAAUUCCA